AUUCGGCUGACGAGUCCCAAACAGGACGAAACGCUAUUUCCGGAU
rnacentral:hammerhead_ribozyme from 1 species